AAAGUCGUAACAAGGUUUCCGUAGGUGAACCUGCGGAAGGAUCAUUACACUCCUCAGUAGUUUACUACUGUAAAAGAGGCUGUUAGUCUGUAUAGCGCAAGCUGAUGAGCAGCUGGUCUCUUUUAUCCACCCUUGUCUUUUGCGUACCCACGUUUCCUCGGCAGGCUUGCCUGCCGAUUGGACAAACAUAUAACCUUUUUAAUUUUCAAUCAGCGUCUGAAAAACUUAAUAAUUACAACUUUCAACAACGGAUCUCUUGGUUCUG
rnacentral:misc_RNA from 1 species